UUUGUUGUUUUUGUAAUGAUCUAACACAGAAAGUUUCAUGGGUUAGGUCAUUGCUGUUGUUGGUCAGGUCAUUGUCAACGUUACAAAAGUCUCUUUUUGGAAUUUUUUAAUAAUUUUUUCCUAUAUUUAAAUGAUUAAAUUUUAUUAUUAUUUCAAGUUUAACAUAAAUCUUUUAAGAAAGAAAAAAAGUUCUUGGCAUUUCAAUUUGGUCCUAUCAUUGUCAGCGUUG
rnacentral:lncRNA from 1 species